rnacentral:pre_miRNA from 1 species
UUUAGAACUCGAGAUAUUGGCUGAACAUUGAAAAUUGUCUGGGCUACAGGACAGAUUCUGACUUCUCCAUUAUUGUUAAGAUUUGGACUUCCAAAUAGUAGAAUUGAGUCUUGGACUCCCAUGAAUGUUUUAGGCCCAUAUCUUAGCUUUCUAGC